rnacentral:sRNA from 1 species
CUUGGAAUCGAUCACGGUCAUGUUUUUAGGUCGACCAGACCUAAAAACAUCGUGAUCUAAAGCCCGAGGGCGGACAGCAUGAUGAAGGUCGCGAAGAGCACGAAAUGCGUCAUGCCUUCGAUGGCAUUGGUCU